rfam:Mus musculus chromosome 10, GRC primary reference assembly.
UGGCUCAGUGGUUAAGAGCACUGGCUGCUCUUCCAGAGGUCCUGAGUUCAAUUCUCAG